CUUGAGCCUUUCCUUACUCCCGUGCUUGUUUUCAGGAAGACCACUCUUCCUGUGUGAUGGAUGAGAUGAGGAAAAAAGGGGGAUGGGACAGAGGUAGAGAGGGAUGGAUGGCAAUUCGCACUUUUUGUUCUGGUGGUGUAUGAAGAGAUAUGACUACGUUUGUGUUGGUUGCACAAUAUGCAGCUGUAUUGGUGAGGAGACACUUGCGAAACAGGGAGUGGUGUAGAGGUCAUUUUGAGACUUGAGUUUGGAGCUGUGCUUUGUCUUGGAGUCAUGAGCAUGUCAUGAGAUCAAACAGAGCCAGUCCCAUUGUGAGGGGUGAGGCUCUCCCAAGGGCAGAUGAUCUCCUUGGCCCCCAAAGAUCCCUGGGAGGCGCCUCGAGUGUCCUCUUCCUCGUCCUCAGACUCGAUGGGGUAGAUCCGACAUUCCGGAGGGAUGUCCACCUUGAUCUGAAAAAAGCUGCCGCACGAAGACAGGGAUUAAUGUGAUAACUCCUCUCGACAGUUAUUCAUGAUAACCGCCUCGAUACAAUGAUACAAGUGACCUGUACGAGAUACAAGCCAAUUUUUUGCUUUGACUUGUGAGUAAAUAUUUGAGAUUGAGCGCUAUGUGGUGGCGGUGAACUCAACUCACUUCAUAAAAAGGAGCAGUUUGUGAGAUAGUAAAAAAAAUGUCAAAAAGAGGUUUAAUGCCAAUCCCAGUUGUAGUUUACUGUCAAACUAACAAAGAAUUACACGUUUUGUAUUUAUAAAAAUCACAUCGCUGUGCUUUAUUGGGCUCUGUUUAGCUUAAGGCUAAAAUCAACGCCAACACAAUAGAUGGGCUAAUGAAUAGCAUCUUUGUGGCGGUGUUAUAACCCUUUAAGCAACGGAUAUUUGAACACAACCGGGGGAGCAACACAUGUCGACGUACACUAUAACAGUACUGACAGACAUAUAUUCUUUAUCUCGUGCGAAGAAUGACAUAUUACUGAAGCUGAAAAGUUUUGAUCACCAACUUCAAGUAUAUCCGUGUCUGUAUUAUAUUGGUGGCCACACAUACACCAGAAGGAGCAGCAGAAUGUCCAUUGACUUGAAGCACAAAAUGUGGCAAAUGUUUAAUUAUUUACAUUCUGUUUAACUAUGUCAUUACUGCAUUUUUUUUUUUUAUAAAGAAAAUAUUAUAAAGUGCUAUUUUCCAUAUUAAAAAAACACAUUACAACA